CAUCACGAACCGAGAGCAAAUCCGCCAAUGAGCGAGAUUCCUCUUUAAAACGGGCAUUUAGUUGAUAAAAACCGUUUGCAGAUUACACUUACAUUACAUAGAACACGACUAACCAGAAUAAUUCACGCGGGGAGACACAGUUGCCAAGAUAGCCCGAAGGUCGGGUUCCUACAGAGGGAAGUUCAGGCGUGUAAGCCAAGAAGUUUAUAUAUAUAUAUAUAUAUAUAUAUAGAGGACAACACAAUUCUGAUCCUGGGAUGAGAAUAGUUAUUCUAAUCACAUCGGCGCUAUAUAGGGGCGACGCGGUGUUGCCGGACUGCCCAAACUGCAAAAAAGCCUGCCGGCCCACCCCCUCCCGCACGAACUUUUGCCCAAUCCACUCGACCACCUCCCGCCGGUGGCCAACGCCCCUGGCGCAUCACCCGCCGCCGCCCCUCCUCUCCCCCGCCGGACGUGCCUCCGGGCGCCGCCGGAUCCCAGCACCGCCGCGCGUCGCCGGAUCACCGGAAUCCCGUGCGCUGCCGCCGCCCACGGGUCCGCCCCGGGACCAAUUCCGCCAUCAGGCGCCGGCGCGCGGUCCGCUGGAUCCCCUAGACGCUGCUGCUACUCCUCACUGCCCGCCAACCUCGUCCUCAUCCGGCAGCCCUGCCGGCCAUCUUCUCCCACGGCCGCGCGCCGUCCUCCUCCCAUGGCCCCCGAUCCGCCACCAGCCUUCUCCCACAGCCCCACCCAAUCCACUGCCGUGCGUGGCACUGAGGCUGGCAGCUACCCCGUGCAUCUGCAAGCUGCUGCAGUUGGUCGUCGCCACCUCAUCUACUCACUGGCUUCCGUACGUGAGCACAACCAGAGAGCCCUUGUAACUUCUACAUCCGCCCACGCAUCCUCAUGCUCUGCCUCCGCUCUCUCUGAUUAGUUGACCUUCUCACAAGCGCCACCUCGACCUUCCCUGGACCAGCUAAUUUUUAACUUCAUGGUGCCAAAAAAAUGUGCGCCGAGACGCCGCCCCCGUGGCCGAACUCCUGCCUCCGCUUGGCUCCGUGCGUAGCAGCGCACCACCUCCCUCGCCAUCCACCUGCCUGUGUUCAUAUUCUACAGCAGUUUGGAGUGUAUUUAUAUAGAAGAAGAAAAAACAACGGCACCUGCACCGGAGCAGCAGGACGACGCACCCUCCCAGCGAUGGCGCAGCAGCGCAUUCGCGUUUGUGCGCAUGUGUGUGUGUGGUGCACUUGAGGGAGCGCUCCCAUGUUGCUAGUCUGCACAUACGCCUCCCCCAUGGAUCCCGUUCUCUUCUCUUUCUUUUUGCUGUGAGUUUGUAAAUUGAAGAUCAGUCAUAACAGGGGAAGAAAAAGCUUUAGAGAGUUUUUCGUAAAAAAUCAGAGAUGUUAUUCAGAUUGUGAUGGACUUUUCGUACAUGUUUAUGCUAGUUCGUGCUUGUUUGUACUUUUUUUCUUACUCUAUUUCAGACUUUGGUUUGAAAAAGUAUGUGCAUGUUGACAGAGACAAUCUAUACAAAGAAGUUCAAAUAUUA